GACGAACGCUGGCGGCGUGCUUAACACAUGCAAGUCGAACGGAAAGGCCCUGCUUUUGUGGGGUGCUCGAGUGGCGAACGGGUGAGUAACACGUGAGUAACCUGCCCUUGACUUUGGGAUAACUUCAGGAAACAGGGCUAAUACCGGAUAGGAGCUCCUGCUGCAUGGUGGGGGUUGGAAAGUUUCGGCGGUUGGGGAUGGACUCGCGGCUUAUCAGCUUGUUGGUGGGGUAGCGGCUUACCAAGGCUUUGACGGGUAGCCGGCCUGAGAGGGUGACCGGCCACAUUGGGACUGAGAUACGGCCCAGACUCCUACGGGAGGCAGCAGUGGGGAAUAUUGCACAAUGGGCGGAAGCCUGAUGCAGCAACGCCGCGUGCGGGAUGACGGCCUUCGGGUUGUAAACCGCUUUCGCCUGUGACGAAGCGUGAGUGACGGUAAUGGGUAAAGAAGCACCGGCUAACUACGUG
rnacentral:rRNA from 1 species